rnacentral:rRNA from 1 species
GAUGAACGCUGGCGGCGUGCCUAAUACAUGCAAGUCGAGCGAAAAGACGAGGAGCUUGCUCCUCUGACGUUGGCGGCGGACGGGUGAGUAACACGUGGAUAACAUACCUAUAAGACGGGGGUAACUUCGGGAGACCGGAGCUAAUACCAGAGAAUAUGAUGAACGGGAUGGUGCAAUAGUGAAAGACGGUUUUGGUGUCUGAUUGAGAUGGAUCCGCGCCGCAUUAGCUAGUGGGUAAGGUAACGGCUUACCAAGGCGACGAUGCGUAGCCGAGCUGAGAGGGUGAUCGGCCACACUGGAACUGAGACACGGUCCAGACUCCUACGGGAGGCAGCAGUAGGGAAUCUUCCGCAAUGGGCGCAAGCCUGACGCAGCCACGCCGCGUGAGUGAUGAAGGUCUUCGGAUCGUAAAACUCUUUUAUUAGGGAAGAACAACUGCGUAAUUAUCCAUGCACGUUUUGACGGUACCUAAUCAGAAAGCCACGGCUAACUACGUG